GGAAUUGACGGGGACCCGCACAAGCGGUGGAUGAUGUGGUUUAAUUCGAUGCAACGCGAAAAACCUUACCCACCUUUGACAUGUACGGAAUUCGCCAGAGAUGGCUUAGUGCUCGAAAGAGAACCGUAACACAGGUGCUGCAUGGCUGUCGUCAGCUCGUGUCGUGAGAUGUUGGGUUAAGUCCCGCAACGAGCGCAACCCUUGUCAUUAGUUGCUACAUUCAGUUGGGCACUCUAAUGAGACUGCCGGUGACAAACCGGAGGAAGGUGGGGAUGACGUCAAGUCCUCAUGGCCCUUAUAGGUGGGGCUACACACGUCAUACAAUGGCUGGUACAAAGGGUUGCCAACCCGCGAGGGGGAGCUAAUCCCAUAAAACCAGUCGUAGUCCGGAUCGCAGUCUGCAACUCGACUGCGUGAAGUCGGAAUCGCUAGUAAUCGUGGAUCAGAAUGUCACGGUGAAUACGUUCCCGGGUCUUGUACACACCGCCCGUCACACCAUGGGAGCGGGUUCUGCCAGAAGUAGUUAGCUUAACCGCAAGGAGGGCGAUUACCACGGCAGGGUUCGUGACUGGGGUGAAGUCGUAACAAGGUAGCCGUAUCGGAAGGUGCGGCUGGAUCACCUCCUUUCUG
rnacentral:rRNA from 1 species